GAUGAACGCUGGCGGCGCGCUUAACACAUGCAAGUCGAGCGAAGAAACUAUAACAGUACCCUUCGGGGCGUAGCUACAGAGGAGUAGCGGCCGACGGGAGAGUAACACGUGAGUAACCUGCCUUAGACAGUGGGCUAGCCCCGGGAAACCGGGAUUAAUACCAAAUAAAAUCAUAAUGACACAAGUCAUAACGAUUAAAACUCCGAUGUUCUACGAUGGACUAGUGACCCAUUAGCAAGUUGGUAGAGUAAAAGCCUAACAAGGCGAAGAUGGCCAGCCUGCCUGUGAGAGUGAGCGGCCACAUUGGAACUGGGCAGCAGUCCAAACUCCUACGCGAUGCAGCAGUGGGUAAUAGUGCACAACGGAGUGAGCGCUGAUGCAGCGCCGCCGCGAGAACUAAGUAGUCUUUCAAGUCGUAAAGUGUUAUUAUAUGUGAAGAUAAUGACGGUACCAUAAGAAAAAGCCCCGGCUAACUACGUG
rnacentral:rRNA from 1 species